UGGCCUCAGUAUAAUAUCUGUGGCUGUGUAGGAAGAUGAAUGGAGGCAUAACAUUGCCAUCAGUAGUGAUCACUCCAAACACCACGAUGUUGACUGGUUGUUUGAUUUUUAUCACUCUCAUUACAUGUUUAGGAGACAUGGCAAGCCAACAGUGGUUCUGUGUGUUCACCAUCUUCAUGUUGGAGCUUCCAGUGCAAAUACCAAGCUGUACAGCAUGUUGUUUCCAAAUUUCUGGCA